rnacentral:rRNA from 1 species
UACGAAGGGGGCUAGCGUUGCUCGGAAUCACUGGGCGUAAAGGGUGCGUAGGCGGGUCUUUAAGUCAGGGGUGAAAUCCUGGAGCUCAACUCCAGAACUGCCUUUGAUACUGAAGAUCUUGAGUCCGGGAGAGGUGAGUGGAACUGCGAGUGUAGAGGUGAAAUUCGUAGAUAUUCGCAAGAACACCAGUGGCGAAGGCGGCUCACUGGCCCGGUACUGACGCUGAGGCGCGACAGCGUGGGGAGCAAACAGG